rnacentral:rRNA from 1 species
GAAAGCUGGCGUCUUCGGCGUCCGCAUUGUAAUCUCAAGAAGUGUUUUCCGCUUCGGACCAUGCCUAAGUCCCUUGGAAAAGGGCAUCAUAGAGGGUGAUAAUCCCGUACAUGGCAUGGAGCGCCCGAGGCUUUGUGAUACGCUUUCUAAGAGUCGAGUUGUUUGGGAAUGCAGCUCAAAAUGGGUGGUAAAUGCCAUCUAAGGCUAAAUAUUGGGGAGAGACCGAUAGCGAACAAGUACAGUGAUGGAAAGAUGAAAAGAACUUUGAAAAGAGAGUUAAACAGUACGUGAAAUUGCCAAAAGGGAAGGGUAGGAGGUCAGAGAUGCGUCUUGGGAUUCAGCCUUGCUUUUGCUUGGUGUUUUUCCCAAGUUGCAGGCCAACGUCGGUUUUGGGCACUGGAGAAGGGUGGAAGGAACGUGGCACCUCUCGGGGUGUGUUAUAGCCUUCUACUGGAUACAGCGACCGAGACCGAGGACAGCAGCGUACUCGCAAGAGCGGGCCUUCGGGCACCUUUACGCUUAGGGCGUUGGCAUAAUGGCCCUCU